rnacentral:rRNA from 1 species
GAGUUUGUAUCCUGGCUCAGGACGAACGCUGGCGGCGCGCCUACACAUGCAAGUCGAACGGAGAUUAUAGCGGAAGUUUCGGAUGGAAGCUUGUAAACUUAGUGGCGGACGGGUGAGUAACACGUGAGCAACCUGCCUAUCAGAGGGGGAUAACGGAUUGGAAACGAUCGCUAAUACCGCAUGACAUAGCGGAACCGCAUGGUUCUGUUAUCAAAGAUUUU